CAUUAAAUGACUGAAAUAUAAGUAUUGAUUUUUUAAAUCAAAUAUAGUAGAUUAAAAUCUACUUUUAAUGG
rnacentral:tRNA from 1 species